AUUCCCCUGCAACUCUAGUUUAAAUUCCACCCCCCCCCCACCUCAAUAUGUGGAUAAUGACCUCUGACUGCCCUCCCUCCUCAUUAAGAAUGCUGUGGAGUCGAUCCAAGAUGUCCCCAACUCUGGCACCCGGGGGGCAACAAACCAUCCAGGAAUCUCAUUCUCGUCCACAGAACCUCCUUUCUGUUCCCCUAACCAACAAAUGCCCUAUCAAUAAAGCUCACCUCUUCUCCCCCUUCCCUCUGCGGCACAGAGCCAGACUCAGUGCCAGAGACCUGACUGCUAUGGUUUUUCUCUGCUAGGUCAUCCACCCCAACGGUAUCCGAGAGUGAUAUACCUGUCAUCGAGGGAACGUCCACAGGGAUACUCUGCACUGGCUGUCUAUCCCCUUUCCCCCUCCUGAAGGUCACCCAAGAUGUUUCCUACACCUUGCAUGCAACUGCCUCCCUGCGUAUCACUCCCUCAGCCUCCCAAAUGAUCCAGAGUUCAUGUAGUUGCAGCUCCAACUCCUUAACAUGGUCUGUUAGAAGCUGCAGCACAAGAGGAUGCACUCCUUGUGGGUCUGGUCCCUGCAAUCCCACAUCCCACAAGAGCAUUCCAGUACCCUGCCUAGCAUCCCCACUGCUUUAAAUGUGCAAUAAGAAAAAAAUAAAGAAAAAAUAACAAAAGAAAAAAUCUGAAGUCUCGAUGAGCCAAAGCCCCAACUCCCCACUCCAAUACUGGCCCGCUCGAACUAUGGCCGAUCCACUUAAAUCUAACUUCUUUUUAUUGGUGCUUGCCAAAAGCCUAAUCUGUCUCCUCAGGAACUGAGAUGCAUAAGAAGUGCCAACUGCCCCCAGUCGCUUCUUUUAAACUCUACCCCUUUGGUGUCUCCUCCGGACUGUGCCACGCAAAAUAUACAAGUCCUAUGCUAGAUUGACUUUCCAGAAUUAUUCGCCUCACGCUGGUCUGUAUAGAAAUCCAUCUGGCCCACUCAGCCCACUUCCCCAACUAAUAAAGCUCCCUCUGUAACUUUUUAGCAACCUCCUUCACUUCCAACAAUACGUCCUAAUUUUGUGGCUACUGCAAACUUACUGAUUUUCUUUUGUGCAUUGGCAACCAUAAUCAUUUAUAUAAAUAAAAAAUAAGAAUGAUCCUAACAUAGCACUAGUUAUCAGUCUCCUUGCCGAGAAAAACCUUUCAACCACUACCCUUUGCUUCCUACCUCCGAGCCCAUUUUGAAUCCACCUAUUCUCUCACAUACCUAAUCAAUUUACCCUAGUUUCUAUCAAGCAUAAAGAAAAGCCACGUCUCUUUGGGAUGGGGGAAGGAACCAGAGCACCAGGGAGAAAGCUAAGCAAGUCACUGGGAGAAUGUUGCAAAUUUUGUACAGACACCAGUAAAUUGGAUUACUGUGAGUAGGUACCAGGGGUAGCGUGGAUCUGGUGGGGUGAACAGCCCAUUUCUAUGCGUUGCUUCUCACUGCAAUUCUUUCCAAAGCAUUGAAAACAUCGUAUGCUCUAGUUCAAUGGUAUUUGAAACCCAUCAGUCUCAGUACUUGCUCAAGACUGGUAAUUUGUAAAAACCCUGUUUCCAAUGAUAUCUGUUUGCUUGUCGUUCAGCAUUUAAACAUUUCUCCGAACUCAGCUUGCUGGCAGCAACUUUGCUAUUUAUUUAAAAGAAAGAACUUGGAUGGCCUCAGCCUGCCCCCAAUGUCCUUCAUGGCAAAUGAAUUACUUUGGAAUGUUGUCAGUGUCGUCAAGUGAGCAAAUACGGUGGCCAAUUUAUGCUGCAAGGGAAGAGAGAUGAAUGGUAAAUUAAAUUGUUUUGUAAGAGCAUUCAAGGGGAAAAUGUUUUUCAGGCCACUGGGAGAAUAUCCCCAUUCUGUUGUGAAUCAUUCCAUGGGAACUUGUAUGGCCCCUGAGAUAGACCAAGCUCGAAAUGCUCAAAGGUGGGGGAGUGGUUCUACCGAACAAAUCAAAUGGAAAGGGAUCAAGAGGAACACGUUACGACGUGGCAGAUGAAGAUGAAUUGGAAUUUCAAAGUCGUUAUGCUGAAGCUCAAGGGCAUGUGAAUGAACGAUGUAGGCACUUCUUUUCAUUUCUCCCUAUCUGUUUGGUCUUUCCAUGGCAUGAACUCCACGCUCGCAAAAGCAGAGUCAACUUGUGAUCCUUUAGCUCCUCGGUGACCUGAAAGAACCUUCAACAGGUUUGGUGUUAACCAUUUCCUCAAUGGUCAAUCAUUAAACUUGUUCAGAGUGACACACACAAAAUGAAGAUGAUGAAAGGUUUCGGCCUGAAACGUCGACUAUUUAUUCCUCUCCAUAGGUGCUGCUUGAGCUGCUGAGUUCCUCCAGCAUUUUGUACGCAUUACUCUGGAUUUCCAGCAUCUGCAGAAUCUCUUGUGCUUACUGCAGUGGCUUACUUUUCUUUUCACCAGCAUGUCACUGAUAAGUCAUCAAGUUCCGCAGCACAGAAAGGGGCCUCUGGACUAACCAUGUGCACAAGAAUAUUUUUGUCCGGAUACACAAAUCCUAUCUGCCCACAUUAGGGCAGUGGUCUUCUAUCCCUUGCCUAUUUCUGUCUACUUAAACAGCUCUUAAGGGUUGUUAACCCAACUGACACAUUCCACUGUAGGUUUUGAUGUACACAUGACAAAUAAACUUGAGUCUUAAAUGAAGUAUCUACUUCUACUAUUUCCAUUCACUUCACUGCGCCUUCUAAAUAUCAACCACUUUCUGUUAUUAAAAAAACCCUCAGACUCCUUUUAAAACUCCCACUUGAUACCUUAAACCUAAAAGCCAUCUUGUUCUUCACACACUUACCAUAAGAAAACUUAUUUGACUAUCUGUCCUGCCUUUGCAAAACAUAAUCAUACAUGAUUCCAUCAAGUCACCCCUCAGCCCACUUUUGUUCCCAUAACUGAAGUCCUCCAACCCAGGCAUCAUCCUGGCGAAUCUCCCCUGCACCCUCUCCAGUGUAAUCUCAUUCUUUCCAUUUUUGUGGAAACCAGGACUUCACUCAAUUUUCCCAAGUGCAGUCUAGCUAAUGGUUUGUAAAGUAGUUAAAAUUUGUUGUUUAACAGGGUUGCUUGUAGGGCAUUUUGGCCCCUUCAGUGGAUGUGGAGUAACACCCAGACCAGAGUGAGGAAAAGGGGCAGAUUUACCCCUUGAAGGAGAGUAGAAAAUCAAAUCGGUUUUAAUGAUGGUCUUGCAGAAUUAUGACCUCAAAAAUACCUAUUAGUUUUUUUAUUAGCACAAUUUAAAUUAAACAUCUAUCUGGAGGGGCAUGAAUUCAUGUCUCUGAAUUAAUAGUCUGGUAAUAGCCUGCUAUCCUUGAAUACCCAAUACAUCAAAUACUUCCAAAUUUAUCUGUAUAGGAAAGUAUAGCCAUUAACUAAUGCAGCAUCAAAAGUCCCACAUGACAAGCCUUUCCCAGUGCAGAAAGCAAUGAAAAGUUUUGCUAACUGUUGCUUCUUCAAUGAAUUACAUAGUCUGUCUUUGCCAUUAUGGAGGCCAUCUUGUGAAAACCCAGAUCACAUAACAAGAUAGGCAACCUUUGGUUUGUUGUCUUUGGUUGCAGAUGCAAUAUUGGAUGAUGCAUCAGGUGAGCUACCUGCCCUGGCAAUGCAGCUUUGUAAAGGAUGACAAGAUGAUGUGGUGAGGCAUAGAGUGGGGUUCAAUCCCACUAAUGGAGCCAAACUGACGAAGUGUACUAAUGAUAAUGGUUGAUGCAUUUCCAGGAAUUCUA